UCCUGGGAAGACUCAUGGGGCACCAGGAGCGGCACAGCGUGGUACAACCGGAGGGUUUCAUUGAUGAUGCAGUUGAGGUAGGGGAGAUUGGGGAUGUCUUCUUCUUCCACCAUCCGCCCUUGGCCGAUCCUGGCAUCGAGCUCGGCCCUCGCCGUGUGCAGGACUUCGGGGUGGAUGAGCAGGAGGCACAUGGCCCAUUCUAUGGUGACGGCCGACGUGUCUGUUCCUGCUGCCAUUAAUUCCUACACAUGAUAGUAGUGUGUGUAUUAUUUACUAUUUAGGAAUUAGUGAAUAGAAAAUAAAUGAUUAUUUACUAAUUCAUAGAACUUAAUUAUUAUUACUAAAAGCAUUAGAGUAGUUUGACAUCACAACUGACUUGUGGCGAGGGAUGUAAUCCCGCUUCUAUUACCGCUCGGCGUCCAUCAGUGCACUUUAGUCGUGAACGGAAGCGAGGCGAGGAACAUAACCGGAAGACUACGAAUAGCGAAGAAACGAGACGUACCACAAUGAGGCCCUUAAUGGUGACGUCGGUGUAAGUUCCCGGAUCGCUUUCCUGAAGAGACAACAUAACGUCGAUCACCGUUGCCCUCCCCUUAUCUCCGUUCCCUACCGCCCCGCCGCCUCUCGGUUGCGGCAACUCUGACGGCGGCGGACGCGAUGACGCUCGAUCAGUUCCCCGAUCAUUCGGACCCGAACCCAGCCGUGUUGGUCCCGAGGCCACGGCUUAAAGUUGUUGACACCAACAGUAGCCACCGACGGUGCAAUGCUGGGAAGACUCAUGGGGUACCAGGAGCGGUCCGGCGGGAUACGGCCGGAGGGUCUCAUUGAUGAUGCAGUUGAGGUAGGGGAGAUUGGGAAUGUCUUCUUCUUCCGCCAUGCGCCCUUGGCCGAUCUUGGCAUCGAGCUCGGCCGUCGCCGCAUGCAGGACUUCAGGGUGGUUGAGCAGGAGGCACAUGGCCCAUCCCAUGGUGACGGCCGACGUGUCUGUUCCUGCUGCCAGUAAUUCCUACACAUGAAAGUAGUGUGUGUCUUAUUUACUAUUUAGGAAUUAGUGAAUACAAAAUAAAUGAUUAUUUACUAAUUCUUAGAACUUAAUUAUUAUUACUAAAAGUACAGAGCUGCUCGACAUCACAACUGACUUGUGGCGAGGGAUGUAAUCCCGCUUCUAUUACCGCUCGGCGUCCAUCAAUGCACUUUAGUCGUGAACGGAAGCGGGGCGAGGAACAUGACCGGAAGACUACGAAUAGUGAAGAAGAGGAAGAGAGGGAUAAGAAGAGAAGAGAGGUGAGGGGAGGGAGAGAGGAGGGGCGUCGGCCAUGGUACGUUGUCCGAGGAUGAAAGGUUUGCGCGAAAUGGUUGCUUAUAAGCCCCAUGGGAUAAUGUCUCCUUGAGUCGACACCAUUAUGGAUCAUCAUCGGUGGGGUUUGACAGAAUUGGAUUCGGACCUCCAUAGGUUAGGAUGUCUCCUAUCCCAGCAGGUAGCGAAGAAUUCAUAAAUGACACGGAUGUGACCAAUAGGAAGAGAGGGAUACGAAGAGAAGAAAGAAGAGGCAGAGAGGAGAACACGUCGGAGGAUGGAAGAUUUGCGUGAAAUGGUUUCUGACAGAGGUUGCUUAAGCACCAUGGGACAAUGCCUCCUUGAGUCAACACCGUUUUCCUUGACAAAGUUGGAUUCACUGAUCCAGUGGACCCCUCAGCAGAAGUUUCAAAAGGCCGUUAGCAGAUGGGCAAUCUUUUUCCCAAACGUUGGAAAGAGACUGUUGCUUACUUUUCAUUGCCCACGCAUCUUGUACGGCUUCGAACAACGUAGGAAUAGGUCGAACAUAGGAAUAGGUGGUUGUCGCAUCCAAGUCUGAGGUGUUGUGUCGAUUCAUGUGUCAUAUCAGUCUUAAUGCUCCAUAUUAACUUUGACAUGACUGUUGACUGUUACCACUGGAGUACACGAGAAUGUGUCCUAUUAGAACAAACCAAAUCUUAUAUAAGAAUUACAUCUUACUUCUCAGAUGUCACAAAAAAAAAAAGUAUCAUUUUAAUAAUUUUAAUUUUAUCCAGAUUAACAAUUUUAAAAAUAUAUCAUUAUUAAAUUUUAUAUUUUAAAUAUAGUAUUUUAAUAAUUAAAAAUAUAAACAAAUAAAAAAGGAAUAUUCUACAACAAAAAUAUAAAAUUUUAACAUAAUAAUUCCAACGCUGAAGGAUUUAAUUUGUCUCGCCAAAAAAUAAAAUCAGUUUGAAUGUAAUUGGAGAGAGCCUCUAUCAUUUGAUAUGGUGCUCCUUGUGUUAGCAACGAUCGAUCGGAUGAGACAAAAGUGAUUUUAAGAAAAGCUAUAGAAUAUGAACACAUGUCCUCCCCCAACAACAUCAAAAGAACACAUUAUCCCAUUAAUGUCGACUCGAGGUUUGCAUACGUCAUCUUGUUAGCCAUAUGCCAAUAUGCCUCCUUUGUUCUUUUAAGACCUUUGAGAUUGCCUUCGGUACUGUCCUAUGGUCGGCCACACCAUUUUUUUCGAAUGAUGGACGGUGCAAAGGAGAGAAGGUGUGCUGCAUUGGCGCUCACGGAUGCACCAAUGAUAAAUAUUUUAAAUAUAAAAAUCAUGUUAAAUAAGGGAUAAGUGAUAUGUAAUUAAAGGGAAUAGAGUACGGCGUUCUUUGAUGGAUUGGUCGCAAUGGAUGUAACGAGACACUCGAAUAGGAUGACACAAUGCGCCAACAUCGGUUUUAGAUUUAUAUGGAUUAUGAUAAUACAAGAGAUGGACAUACCUAUCUCAGCGUGUAAAUUAUUCAUUAGGCGACAAACACAGGGAAGACGCCAACCGACACGAGCGAAGGGGACGAUAACUACUAAAGCACAGGUAUCAGACAACGAACCCACAAGCAGCUUUUUAACCGGAGGAACGUACGUAUUAGCCACACUGUAUGCCAACUCUCAGAGCUGUGAAAGAGCAUGAAGCAUGGUGUGGCGUGGCGUGCACACGACUUCCAAUGGCUUUGCCUUGGGCAUGGUUAGCCCCGGCCCCUCGGUCAUGUCCACCUCCUCCCCCGGAAGCUUCUCCCACUCGAAACAGUGGAUCAAGGUCGCGAGUGCCAGGCCGAUCAGUCGCAUGGCGAGGCCUUCCCCGGGGCACUUGCGCCGCCCGGACCCGAACGGAAGCAUCCUAAGCCCUGCCUCCUUCCCUCCCUCACACUGGAACCUCUCCGGCUUGAACUCCUCAGGCUCGUCCCAUGUGUUAGGGUCCCUGUGGAUAGCCCACGCGUUCGCCAAAAGCAUCGUGCCGCGAGGCACGUCGUAGCCACCGACGGUGCAGUGCUGGGAAGACUCAUGGGGCACCAGGAGCGGCACAGCGGGGUACAGCCGGAGGGUCUCAUUGAUGAUGCAGUUGAGAUAGGGGAGGUUUGGGAUGUCUUUUUCUUCCGCCAUGCGCCCUUGGCCGAUCUUGGCAUCGAGUUCAGCCCUCGCCGCGUGCAGGACUUCGGGGUGGAUGAGCAGGAGGCACAUGGCCCAUUCCAUGGUGGAGGCCGUCGUGUCUGUUGCUGCUCCCAGUAAUUCCUAUACAUGAAAAGUAGUGUGUGCAUUAUUUACUAUUUAAGAAUUAGUGAAUAGAAAAUAAAUGAUUAUUUACUAAUUCUUAGAACUUAAUUAUUAUUACUGAAAGCAUGGAUCAGCUUGACAUCAUAACCGACUUGCGGCGACGGAUGUAAUCUCGCUUCUAUUACCUCUCGGCGUCCAUCAGUGCACUUUGUCGCGAAUUUAAGCGGGGAGACUAACAUAACCGAAAAUUACGAAUAGCGAAGAAACGAGACGUACCGCACUGAGGGCCUUAAUGGUGACGUCGGUGUAAGUUUCCGGAUCGCUCUCCUGUAGGGACAACAUAACCUCGAUCAUCGUUGGUCUCUCCUUAUCUCCGUUGCUGCCACUCCGACGCCGGCGGGCACGAUGACGCUCGAUCAGUUGUCCGAUUAGUGCGUCUCUCUUCUGCACGAGCCUCGCGAGUUUCCUCUCCGGCCCGCGCCACCCCAGCCUCUGCAGCACCGGAAAGAAGUCCGCCACGUUUGCCGCCCCGCUCACCGCAGACGUCUCCUCCACUAUCUCCCGGAAACGAUGCCUGUCCUCCGCGGACUCCUCGAGGGCCGUGGCCACCAACCCCAUCAUCACGUCGUACACCAGAUUGAAUAACCUCGACUUCAUCUCGACCCGCCGCGGACCGUUCGGCUCAGAAUCUCCGGGCUCGAGGAAGAGGGACUUAGCCAGCGACCGGACCACGCGGGUCCGUGAGUCGGAGGACGAGCGAAGGGCGGCCGAGGAUAAGAGGUGAACGGCGUAGAUGCGUCGGAGGUCACGCCAGUGGGGGCCGUGGGGCGUCCAGCCCAUGGUGGUGCAGACGAAGCCUAAGAUCUGAGGGGCGAGGAGGUUGGGGCGAUUGGCGAAGGCGACGUCGUGAGCAGUGAAGCACUCUUCCGCGGCGGGAGCGGAGGAGACGAGGAGAACAGGGCGGGAUCCGAGGCGGAGGAGUACGACGGGGCCGCGGGCGGUGGCGAUGGCAGCCAAGGCGCGAUGAGGCGGGAGCUUGGCGAUGAGGUGGAGGUGGCCGAUGAUGGGGAACGAAGGGGGGCUCGGCGGGAGAUUUUUGCGAACACUCUUGGUCCAUCGCCAUGCCAGGGAUGCGAACAAGACGAAGAGAGGGAUAAGAAGAGAAGAGAGGAGAGGGAGAGAGGAGGAGGCGUCGGCCAUGGUUUGUUGUCCGAGGAUGAAAGGUUUGCGCGUAAUGGUUGCUUAUAAGCCCCAUGGGAUAAUGUCUCCUUGAGUCGACACUAUUAUGGAUCAUCAUCGGUGGGGUUUGACAGAAUUGGGUUCGGACCUCCAUAGGUUUGGAUGUCUCCUAUAAAUGAUACGGAUGUGACCAAGAGGAAGAGAGGGAUACGAAGAGAAGAGAGGAGAGGCAGAGAGGAGAACACGUCCGAGGAUGGAAGGUUUGCGUGAAAUGGUUUCCGACAGAGGUUGCUGAAGUGUCAUGGGACAAUGCCUCCUUGAGUCAAACACCGGUAUCGAUCAAUCAUCAUCAACGAGUGACUUGUCCCAAACGUUGGAAAGAGACUGUUGCCCGAAUGCCUACGUUUGCAGAUGGGCAAUCUUUUUUGAGAGAAGUUUCAAAAGAUUGUUUAUUUACUAUUGACUUUGGAUCCUCCAUAUACGAUUACCGCUUACGUUUAGUCCCUCAUUAAACAAAUAAAAUCUUAUAUGUUACAUCUUAAUUCUCAGAUAUCACCAAAAGAAAUGUAUCAUUUUAAUAAUUUUAAUUUUAUCCUGAUUAAAAAUUUUAAAAAUAUAUCACUACAAAAUCUUAAAAGUUUUACAUUUUAAAUGUAGCAUCUAAAUAAUUAUAAAGGCAAACAAAUAAAAAAGGAAUACUCUAUUACGAAAAUAUAAAAUUGAAACCGACUAAUUCUAACGUUUAAGGAUUUAAUUUGAUACGGUCCAGCAACGAUAGACCGGCUAAGACAACAAAUGAUGAUAGGAAAAACUAUAACACAAGAAAAUUACUCUCAAACUCAGAGUUGAUAACAAAUAUAUUCUCAAAAUAUUAUUUUUUUUGGGAAAAGAGAUACAUAAAAGUAUUAUUUGCAAAUAUACCCUCAAAAUUGUCUAACCAGAAAGCUUGGCUUAGAUAUCCUCAAAAAGGAUGUAAAGCUGCAACAAUUCCAAGAAGCUACAUUAGAUAUAUACAUAGAGUUAGCAAAUUGUCACCCCAUGGCUAAUUAUCAAUACAGUUCAAAUUAACAUUAGGUAUCGAUUGCAGCUGAAGCACAAACAACUUCUGAUGCCCAGUAUAACUUCCAGUUGCCAAGAGUCUUAGAUAAAAUAGUCAUCACCAUUACUAAACCUAUCAAAAAUCGGUGUUGUAUAUUUCAAGAUUUAUCAAAAGAAAAGGAAAUUAUUACCCACAGAACAUGCUCAGCAUGCAUGGAAAAUGUUAUCAUCCGAGAAGAAUACAGUAUCAUUGAAUCAAGUUCAUGAAGAAGAUUUGGUUGCUAGAAUAGGCUGAACUGCAGCUUUGAAGUCCUCCAAGAAUUUCUGCUCUGAAAACCUUUGAGCGUGCUUUCUAGCAACUGCAGCUAUUGCUAGUCUCUCUGCCUCUGCCAUCUUAAUCACUUUGAGGAUAGCUUCAGUAUAUUCCACUUUGUUUGAUGCUAGAAAUCCUGUUUUACGUCCACAUUCAUUCAAAAUUAUGUCCAUCUUGGGACCUGCUGAAUUAUGAGCUGAUGGGAAGAAAAGUAUUGUCAGUGGAUAGCAUGCUUAGCUUUCGGAUAAACAGUGAUUAAUCACACCAGAUUAAUCACUGUUUGUCCACAUGGGAUGGGAGUCCACAUGCACUAACCAAUUGGUACCACACCAGAUGCCAUGUACUCUACGACACUAAUUCCAAAAUGUUCUCAAUCAUGGAGUGAAGCCCGGCAACAGCACCUCCCAGAAGUUAGACCAAGUCCCUGUUACGGUGAACAAUUCAAAAAGAGCUGACGUAAACAUGGCAAACAAUAGAAGAAACUGUAUAUCAUUUAUGCAUUGGAGGCAGUAGAGUUUUAGAUGAUGUAGUGAAGAUUCCUCUCAAGUCUCAAGAACUACUAAACAUAAAGUUCAGGCACAAGACGACAUCCAAAAUUGCAUGUUCUGCGAAUAGUAUGUCAAGGUUUGAGCUCCGAUGCAUAGCCACGAUUAGAUUGAUCUAAAACUUUCUUGUUCCCUCUCUCAGAAGACCUUUGAUAUUCCCUCGAGUCUGAAGGUAUCCAAUAACUUGUUAUCCUUUGGACACUAUAUUCAGUCGUGCAUUAAUGGGUCAGUCGUAGUUUACAGGAGACGGUCAAACUAGUUGAAAGAAUGGUAUUGCUCAGAACAGUUCUAGAUCGAUUCCACUGGAACUUCAAAUUGACCACUGGUCAAAGUUCUGACACGGCAGACAAAUGAGUAGACCAUUAAUGGGAGUUCCAUCCAUGCUAAUGGUGGAGUAAAAAUCUGUCGGCGUUCAUCUCCACCUGCAAACUAUGGAACUGACUUCUGGUUUCCAUAAGGGUAGAAAAGAAAUAUCCAAAAAAACCAUACAUGUUCAGCUUUGUUUUAGUAAAUAACCCUGGGCCUUCUAGAAUGAAAAGAGCCGAAGAAGGAACAUAUGGAAUGUUGAAGUCCUUAUCCUCCUGCACAUCUCCAGCCUCAAGCUACUCAUUAUGCUCUUUCUGGAUAUGCUUCGAUUAGUCAAUAACAUAAAAGGGUAGCACAAAACCAAACAGUAUAUAAAGGAUAACGGAGUCCUUAUAUGGGAAAUUCUACUUGCUACACCUAAACUCAAACAUAGAUGUCACUAACUCUGUUUUGAUCCACCAAAAUUUAAGAAAAAACCAGAGAAUAUUGUUAGUUGUGUACAGUGAAAACAAAUCUAGAGACAAAAAAGGGAAUCCAAAACAAAAAAUAUACUAGCAGCUAGGAAUUUUCAAGUUGAAAGAAAACUAGUGCUGCAGAUUGAACCUAUUAGCAGCAUCCCUGCGGAACUCCUCAAAAUUAUCCAAAUUUAGUUCCCUGCGUCUCUCUUUGAGCUUCUGCAAUCUUUCUUCAUCCUGCUUAUUCCGACAACUACCCACAAAUUGGAGCUUUGGCCUAGGCAUGUCCUGAUCUAGUAUUCCAACAGAUUGUGCAAACGCUUCCAGUUGAAGGCUAUGAGCCUUGAUGAGAAUCAAGUGUCACAGUUAAUAUUGUGAUAUCAACUAACCAUAUGCCCACAUGAUGAGGGCAUUCACAGACAUCACCUUCUCUGGGCGAAACUGGGCAACUGAUAUAAUCACAGGACUCCUAACUGGCUUUCCCAGAGGAAGCAUCCGCUUGGACAUUCAGUACUUUCUUUCAUCAAUGAUGGUUUAAUAAAUCUCUAGCAGUGAAUAAUUAAAUGGAGCCAGAUGAUAAAAUAGGAUGUUUUGAAAUGUCCAACUCGCUAAGUCUUUUAAACAAUUGCAGGUAAUAAGACACAUUUAGCUAAACCGUGAAACUUAGCUCUCUAAAGUUGGUUUUGUAAAGAAACAGGACAUCAAAAUUAAAUAUAAUUGGCUUGGAAAUUUGUCAUGCAUUCUAAAAUUGUUAAGCAACAGUCAGGUAUAAGCCAGGCUGCCAAUUUACAAGAAUUAUAUAUAUACCUGAAGGGAUGAAGUAUCACAGGGAGGGUACACUCUCUUAGUGAGUGGAGGAAUCUUCCACAGACAAUCUAUAUGUGACUUGGCCCAUGAGGAGUUUACCAUUGCAAGAUGUGCACAGGAUCCCACCGAGCCAUACAACCAACUAAAUAUUGUAUAGUACACCACUUUGCACCUGGAUAGCAGAAUGCAGCCUCACAAGUAAAGAAGACAUAAGAUGAUUAGCACCACACGUCAAAGAAAAAAAGACUUCUUCUUAGUCCAAACAAGACUAGAUUGCCUAUACCUCGACUGCCAAAUCCAUACAAUUUAAUGCUUAUUUAUUUCUUUGAAGUCAGAGUAUCAGUAUUCUGACCUCGUCUACAGGAGUGAAGAACAAUAAGAAGCAGUGUUCAUCGCUUAAAAUCUUUACAUAGCAAUUGGUUGCAAACAAAUCAUGACAUACAUACAAUACAGAAUAAGCACUAGGAAAAAGCAGGACAUGGAGCAAAAGGAAUGACCAUGUUCUCAUAUGUGUGCUCCAAUCCGUUUAAAAAGCUCUUGUUAUUGUUGAAUAAAUCAAAUGUCACCUCAUCACACAAUUCUAAGAAAAUAUUGCAUAGAUUAAAUGGAACUUACAAAGAAAGUUGCAUCCAGAGGUGAAAGCAGACAUGUGGCCAUUUAACAAUAAAAAUUUAACAAACAUGACCUUUAAGCAACAUUACCAGGAGUCAUUUCUUGUGAAACAGAUUGUAGAGUGAUACUCAAUUGCAAAAACAACAUAAGUUUACAAUUAGCGUAGGACACCAACUAAGCAACUAUUUUUAGAACCUAGCUUAUGAACAUGAUCAAGAACAAAGGUCUAAGCUGUACCAGUUCUUAUAAACAGAUUGCAAAUGAUAAAGAUUCCAAAAAUCAUGAAAGCAACUAUUUCUGCAGUCAACUGAAGAUACUAUAUCUGCAAAUACCUCAUAGCAAUUAGAGCAUCAUUAUUGUACAUUGAGCUGCGCUGGAGUACACGAGAAAAACCAUAUCCGAGCUGGUGGUCGUAUAGUAAGUAUAGCAAAUAACUUUGCACCCAAAAAUCCGAGCAAGCAGGUAGGUAAAAGCAUAUAACCACUAGUAUCAAAAUAGAAUUGAGGGGUGAAUUUGCACAGAGCCUUCCACGAAAAAUACACUGAACCAAGACUUUAUCCAAUCAUAGUAAAAUGAGGAUAUGUGUGCUCUUCAAUGCAUUUCCACCUGUACAAGUGAAUGACCUAACAGUGCAUGUUGGCACGUAAACUAUGGGAUCAUUUAACCAAAACUGAAGUGCCAGAAAAGGAUGAACUUGUUUAUAGCAAAAAAAAUACAAAAGAACAAUAGGUAUUGAUGAUGGACUCUUCUUUCUUAUCAAAUUAAAAACCUAAAAUAUUAAACACUCUUCGUUGUUUUGUUUCAUAGACCGAAGGUAAUGGUGGUAAGCAACAAAACAUCCUAACAUCCUCACCAAUUUCAUAAUGUAAAUGACUAGUAAAGACGGCGUAGCCGAGAUCGGGGUUCUCUUCCUGCACGGCUCUCAGGGCGCACCACAGGACCCUCUCCCCGCGACCGCCGUCGUUGGUGUAAGAAUGGAAGAACCCCACCGCCCUCCGCCCUCCGCCUCCCCCGCCGCCCCGAGAUCACGGCCGCGACAGCGGAGAAGAGUACCAGGGAUAGAAGGGAAGAAAGCAAGGUGGUCGACAACAAGACCCAGACCGCCAUGGAUCGCGCUCCGACUCCUCGCGGCCCACCGGAUUUGGGUCUCGGCGGGCGAGCUAUGGGGUCUUGUUUAUAAGAAAAGAAACCAUCCGUGCUUGGUACAACGGAUGGCCGAUACACCACCCACCCACACUGUGAUUGGAUGCAGCUAGCGAACCCACAAGUGGGCCACCUCAGAGUGGCUCAAAUCAGCGCGACGGCUGGACCCUGAAGAAUUUACGGUCGAUUGCGCCUUGGUCUUAUUCGACGCUAAUCCUCCAUAUUAGUCUCCGAUCGUGCAACGAGGAAGAAGGGAAUCGGAGAGGACGUAGUUGGGGCCGCAAUGGUGGGAAGUGGCGGUGGAAAGGGGGAAAGAUAAAGAGUUUCAUGGUUCCACGACAGGGAAAAGAAAAAGCACUAAUUACAUAUUAUCUCCGUACUUAUGUUCUUUAAUUUAAUAAUUUUUAUAUUUUAAAAUUUUAUAUUAUGAUUCUCAUAAUUAUGAAAUUAAAAUAAAUUAUUAUUUUUUAAUAUCAAGUAUAGCAUUGAAGCAUGAGACAUCAUCAUCAUUUUAAUCAUAUUAUUCAAGAUAAUAUAAUAUCUUAUUCCUAAUGAUUUUCAAUUCUUGAGUCACAUAUCUUUAUCUAUUGAAUUCGUAUAUCCCUUAAAAUCGUGCAUAUAAGAGAGAUGUGUUUUAUCUAGGGAGUUCGUAUAUCCCUUAAAUCCUACAGAUCUGUGGAAGAUAAUAAAAGAGGUCAAUUGUCAUCCUCUUUAGUGAUGAUUCACAUGGCAAGAGCUGCGAAGACAUACCUCAAAUCACUAUCCAAAUCUUUACACGCCCUAAAUAAGGGUUAUUCGCUUAGAAGGAGAAUAAGAUAGGAGAAUAGAAGGUAACAUCCAAAACAAACCUAACCUAUAACUCUUUGGUUCUCUCGUAUUACGAUUGAAAUUACGUUAUUAUUCAUCGAUUUUAUGCCAAUCGAACAUAUGAUAUUACAUAUCGGGUCUUACAUAUGUGCAGUUGACAAUGUUAGAAAAUUAAAAUAAAUUAUUUAUUUUUAUAAUUAUAAAAACCUUAAUAUAAUUUUUUUAAUAAAUUUUUUAAGUAUAAAAAUUAUCAUACCCUAAUACAUAGGGUAAGUAAUACGUAAUUAGUUCAAUCAUCAAAGGGAAUAGAGUACGGCGGUUUUUGAUGGAUUGGUCUUAAUGGAUGCAACAGGACACUGAAAUAGUAUGACAUAAUGCGCUAACCUCGUUUUUAGAUUUAUACGGAGGACGACAAUACAAGAGACGGUCAUACCUAUCUGAGCAUGUAAAUUAUUAAUUAGGCCACAAACACAGGUAAGACGCCAACCAACAAGAACAAAAGCGUCCAUAACGACAUAAGCACACGCAUCAGACAACGAACCCUAUAGCAGCUUUUUAACCGGAGGAACGAACGUAUAUGCCAUACUGUAUGCCAACUCUCAGAGCUGUGAAAGGGCAUCAAGCAUGGUUUGGCGUGGCAUGCACAUGACUUCCAAUGGCUUUGCCUUGGGGAUGGUUAGCCCGGACCCUUCGGUCAUGUCCACCUCCUCCCCCGGAAGCUUCUCCCACUCGAAACAGUGGAUCAAGGUCGCGAGUGCCAGGCCGAUCACUCGCAUGGCGAGGCCUUCCCCGGGGCACUUGCGCCGCCCGGACCCGAACGGAAGCAUCCUAAGCCCUGUCUCCUCCUUCCCUCCCUCGCACUGGAACCUCUCCGGCUUGAACUCCUCGGGUUCAUCCCAUGUGUUAGGGUCCCUGUGGAUGGCCCACGCGUUCGUCAAAAGCAUCGUGCCGCAAGGCACGUCGUAGCCUCCGACGGUGCAGUCCUGGGAAGACUCAUGGGGCAGCAGGAGUGGCCCGGCGGGGUACAGCCGGAGGGUCUCAUUGAUGAUGCAGUUGAGGUAGGGGAGAUCGGGGAUGUCUUCUUCUUCCGCCAUGCGCCCUUGGCCGAUCUUGGCAUCGAGCUCGGCCCUCGCCGCGUGCAGGACUUCAGGGUGGUUGAGCAGGAGGCACAUGGCCCAUUCCAUGGUGACGGCCGUCGUGCCUAUUCCUCCUCCCAAUAAUUCCUGCACAUGAAAGUAGUGUGUGUGUGUGUGUAUUAUUUACUAUUUAGGAAUUAGUAAAUACAAAAUAAAUGAUUAUUUACUAAUUCUUAGAACUUAAUUAUUAUUACUAAAGCAUUAGAGUAGUUUGACAUCACAACUGACUUGUGUGGCGAGGGAUGUAAUCCCGCUUCUAUUACCGCUCGGCGUCCAUCAGUGCACUUUAGUCGUGAACGGAAGCGAGGCGACGAACGUAACCGGAAGACU
rnacentral:lncRNA from 1 species